UGGGGAAUAUUGGACAAUGGGCGAAAGCCUGAUGCAGCAACGCCGCGUGCGGGAAGAAGGCCCUCGGGUUGUAAACCGCUUUCAGAAGGAACGAAACUGACGGUACUUUCAGAAGAAGGUGCGGCCAACUACGUGCCAGCAGCCGCGGUGACACGUAGGCACCAAGCGUUGUCCGGAUUUAUUGGGCGUAAAGAGCUCGUAGGCGGUUCAGUAAGUCGGGUGUGAAAACUUUGGGCUUAACCCAAAGCGUGCAUCCGAUACUGCUGUGACUUGAGUACGGUAGGGGAGCGGGGAAUUCCUAGUGUAGCGGUGAAAUGCGCAGAUAUUAGGAGGAACACCGGUGGCGAAGGCGCCGCUCUGGGCCGAAACUGACGCUGAGGAGCGAAAGCAUGGGUAGCAAACAGGAUUAGAUACCCCCGUAGUCCCUGAGCGGGCUGGCAAGGCGCAU
rnacentral:rRNA from 1 species